rnacentral:rRNA from 1 species
UACGUAGGGUGCAAGCGUUGUCCGGAAUUAUUGGGCGUAAAGAGCUCGUAGGCGGUUUGUUGCGUCGGCUGUGAAAUCCCGAGGCUCAACCUCGGGUCUGCAGUCGAUACGAGCAAACUAGAGUGUUGCAGGGGAGACUGGAAUUCCUGGUGUAGCGGUGAAAUGCGCAGAUAUCAGGAGGAACACCGGUGGCGAAGGCGGCAUACUGGACCGCCACUGACGCUGAUGCGCGAAAGCCAGGGGAGCAAACGGG